GAGCAUUUUACGACAGCUCUGGAGGGCUAUUUACGGCAGUAGGAGGGGCGAGAAGAAAGAGAAAAAGAAUGCGAGCGAGAGCAACUUUCAAAAAUGGCUCAACCGAGACCCAAAGAGGUUAAAUAACUGGCCAAAGUCACGCAAGAAGAAAGUGAAAGUUCAAGAUUUGAAUCCAGAUCUUUAACUCAAAAGCAUAUACCAUUUGCCGAAGGGAGGCUUCUGAGGUAUUGGUAAUGUUUUGUAUUUUGAUCUAAGUAGUGGUUACUUUUUAUUUUUUGCAAUUUUUACCUUCUUAAAAUUUAAUCGAGCUGCGUGCUUAAGCUUUGUGAACUUUACAGCAUAUAUGUUAUAUUUCAAUAAAGUUUUUAUGUAUCUGAA